rnacentral:snRNA from 1 species
UAAACCCGUAAGGCGCAAGGA